rnacentral:lncRNA from 1 species
UUUCCAUGGCAACGGUGGCCAUUUUGGAAAUUCCAACUUCAAAUGUCUCAUCCAGACUUGCCAGUCUACAAUCGUAUUAAGUUUCAUCAAAUUUGGAACAUUUUGAAAUUUUUGACAUUUUUGACAUUUGUGAUGGUUCCUAUGGCAACAAAGACCAUUCCCAAAAUUUAAUGGCAUAUACCACAUUGGUACAUGGGAGGGACCAUACCAUCAAAGUUUCGAUCCAUUUGACCUACCAUAUUAAGAAAGUUAUUGCCACUUUAAGGUUUUUGGACUGUUUUGCAUUGUUUCCAUGGUAACGGCAGACAUUUUCAAAAUUCCAACGCCCAAUUCCACAUCUUACAAUGUUGCUCAUCGUUACUGUGAAGUUUUAUAAAAUUUGGAGCAUUUCCAUAUUUUGGAAAUUUUUGGUGUAGUAUCCAUGGCAACAUAGCAGUUCCAAUGAUUGCCAAAAUCAUCCCAAAGCAGUAUAUAGUGGGCACCUACAUUGUAUUAAAAUCUAAAGAUUUUAAGAUUAAGCAUUCUCAAACAAUUCACCUAACUCCAAAAUUAUAUUUUUUCACCAUUUUUUCGUUUCCAUGGUGAUGGCAGCCAUUUUUUAGUUCCAAAGUUGCACUGCAACUGGAAAGUCAGGGUUCCUUGUUAUAGUGCACUAUCAUUCAGAUUGGUUCCUUUGGCUCUGAGAAAACUGCCGGACAAAAUUAGAUGGAAGAAAAAUAAUAAUAAUAGAGGAAAAGCAAUAUGUCACCCGACAUUGUCGAUCGGGUGACAUAAUAAAAAUAAUAGUGAAAAAGAAACAGAGGAAUAGCAAUAUGUCACCCGACAUUGUCGAUCGGGUGACAUAACUAGAAUUGCCAUUGCAAGCAAUAGCGGAUGUCACCCUGGUCCACCAAUUGCCACUAAACAGCAGCCAUGGUAACGGCAGCCAUUUUGGAAAUUCCAAAGUUGAAUGCCGCAUCUAGAUUUACAAGUUAACAUUUCUGUAACGUUUCAUACAUUUUUGAAGAAUUUUGAAAAUUUUGCUAUUUUUGAACAGUUUCCAUGGCAACAUUUGAAAAUUCCAGUCAUACUGCUGCUUCAUAUUGUGCUCCCCAUAAUAUUAUACCAUCAUAUAACAUUUAAGGGCUGUAUAAUUAAUUUAACCCUAAUGUUCUGGAAUGUUCCAUGAAAUUUUUCAUAUUUUUGCUGUUUCCAUGGCAAUGGCAGCCAUGUUUUUAAUUCCAAAGUCAGGUGCACAACUAGACAUGGUGAUCAACAUUAUGUUAUAGUUCCAUCAACAUUGGUCCAUUCAGUUCCGAGAACUAAGCUGGACAAAAAGUGUGGAAUAAGAAUAAUAGUGACAUAAUAAUAGGGAAAAAGAAACAGAGGAAAAGCAAUAUGUCACCCGACAUUGUCGAUCGGGUGACAUAAUAAUAGAACAAAGACAAAUGAAAAAACAAUAA